UACGUAGGGUCCGAGCGUUGUCCGGAAUUACUGGGCGUAAAGGGCGCGUAGGCGGCCUUAUAAGUCAUGUGUGAAAGCUCUGGGCUCAACCCAGGAAUUGCAUGUGAUACUGUAAGGCUCGAGUUCGGUAGAGGAGGGCGGAAUUCCAGGGUGUAGCGGUGAAAUGCGUAGAUAUCUGGAGGAACACCCGUGGCGAAGGCGGCUCUCUGGUCCGAUACUGACGCUGAGGAGCGAAAGCGUGGGGAGCGAACAGG
rnacentral:rRNA from 1 species